GCUCCUCUGAUUUAGCGGCGGACGGGUGAGUAACACGUGGGUAAUCUGCCUGUAAGACGGGGAUAACUCCGGGAAACCGGGGCUAAUACCGGAUAACAAGAGAAGAAGCAUUUCUUCUUUUUGAAAGUCGGCAUCUCGCUGACACUUACAGAUGAGCCCGCGGCGCAUUAGCUAGUUGGUGAGGUAACGGCUCACCAAGGCGACGAUGCGUAGCCGACCUGAGAGGGUGAUCGGCCACACUGGGACUGAGACACGGCCCAGACUCCUACGGGAGGCAGCAGUAGGGAAUCUUCGGCAAUGGGCGAAAGCCUGACCGAGCAACGCCGCGUGAGCGAUGAAGGCCUUCGGGUCGUAAAGCUCUGUUGUUAGAGAAGAACAAGUACGAGAGUAACUGCUCGUACCUUGACGGUACCUAACCAGAAAGCCACGGCUAACUACGUGCCAGCAGCCGCGGUAAUACGUAGGUGGCAAGCGUUAUCCGGAAUUAUUGGGCGUAAAGCGCGCGCAGGCGGUCUCUUAAGUCUGAUGUGAAAGCCCACGGCUCAACCGUGGAGGGUCAUUGGAAACUGGGAGACUUGAGUGCAGGAGAGAAAAGUGGAA
rnacentral:rRNA from 1 species